GCACUGAUGGUUCAGUUGUAGAAUUCUGGCCUUCCCUGUGGGAGACCUGGGUUCGAUUCCCGGCCAAUGCA
rnacentral:tRNA from 1 species